rnacentral:rRNA from 1 species
UACGUAGGGGGCAAGCGUUGUCCGGAUUUAUUGGGCGUAAAGAGCGUGUAGGCGGCCAGAUAGGUCCGUUGUGAAAACUGGAGGCUUAACCUCCAGCUGUCGAUGGAAACCAUCUGGCUAGAGUCCGGAAGAGGAGAGUGGAAUUCCUGGUGUAGCGGUGAAAUGCGCAGAUAUCAGGAGGAACACCGGUGGCGAAGGCGGGUCUCUGGGCCGUAACUGACGCUGAGGAGCGAAAGCAUGGGGAGCGAACAGG